UACAGAGGGUGCGAGCGUUAAUCGGAAUUACUGGGCGUAAAGCGUGCGUAGACGGUCAUGUAAGUCGGAUGUGAAAGCCCCGGGCUCAACCUGGGAAUUGCAUUCGAGACUGCAUGGCUUGGGUGCGGAAGAGGGAAGCGGAAUUUCCGGUGUAGCGGUGAAAUGCGUAGAUGUCGGAAGGAACACCAGUGGCGAAAGCGGCUUCCUGGUCCGACACCGACGUUCAGGCACGAAAGCGUGGGGAGCAAACAGG
rnacentral:rRNA from 1 species